rnacentral:rRNA from 1 species
UACGGAGGGGGCUAGCGUUAUUCGGAAUUACUGGGCGUAAAGCGUACGUAGGCGGCUUUGUAAGUUAGAGGUGAAAGCCCGGAGCUCAACUCCGGAACUGCCUUUAAGACUGCAUCGCUUGAAUCCAGGAGAGGUGAGUGGAAUUCCGAGUGUAGAGGUGAAAUUCGUAGAUAUUCGGAAGAACACCAGUGGCGAGGGCGGCUCACUGGACUGGUAUUGACGCUGAGGUACGAAAGCGUGGGGAGCAAACAGG